rnacentral:rRNA from 1 species
GUAGGUGGCAAGCGUUGUCCGGAAUUAUUGGGCGUAAAGCGCGCGCAGGCGGUUCUUUAAGUCUGAUGUGAAAGCCCACGGGCUCAACCGUGGAGGGUCAUUGGAAACUGGAGAACUUGAGUACAGAAGAGGAAAGCGGAAUUUCACGUGUAGCGGUGAAAUGCGUAGAGAUGUGGAGGAACACCAGUGGCGAAGGCGGCUUUCUGGUCUGUAACUGACGCUGAGGCGCGAAAGCGUGGGGAGCAAACAGGAUUAGAUACCCUGGUAGUCCACGCCGUAAACGAUGAGUGCUAAGUGUUAGGGGGUUUCCGCCCCUUAGUGCUGCAGCUAACGCAUUAAGCACUCCGCCUGGGGAGUACGGCCGCAAGGCUG